AGGGAAGAAACAAGGAUAUCUGAACCAUUUGCACAACACAGAAGCUCUCCAGCCCUUGUCUGGAAAAGGCUGCAGUGUCACAGCCUCCCGUGGGCAGUCCCUGGGCUCUGGCAGGUUAACUCAGCCAGAGUCUCUCGAAUGCAGAGUUAGGGGUUGCUCCUGGAACUCCUCAGCUCACAUAAACCCAUGGAGCUCAUCCAACAGCCCGUGGCAAGUAGAGAUUGUCUCCUUGGCCAAGAGACCUUUGGAUAGGGCUAAGCAGUCACCACUGGCCAGUCAAAUGCAGAGGUCAAACUCAGCUGCUCUGGAAACAAAGGUAUUCAGAAAACAUACAGGGAUGUGAGGAUCAGUCCUGCACAAAGAGCUAACAAUAGUUUCCUAAAGCUGCAAAGCUCAACGUAGGGUUUGAAGCACCAGGCAUUGUAUUGAUCUGCCUCUGGGCAAAUACCUGGUGCUUUCGCACACAAACCCCAGCCUUUCUGAACGUUUCAGUGUGGAAAUAAGGGGAGUCAGCCCGAGAUAAGAGCCUGCACCAGCUCAGCUGGACCCUGCUGUCACAUCCACAGCAACAGAAGGGGCUGGGACUGGAGAUGCUGUGCUGGGGCGGGGGGGCAGCUGCAGAAGGGACCAGCUGGUGGGAGGGGAUGCUGCUAGGUGGAAGAGGAGCAGUGAUUUAUACCAAUGUGCUCAUCCCCUGUGUCAGCACAGAAGGGUGCUGUGGGAAUAGGGACUGCGUGCUUGGGGUGUGGGGGAUACUCUGUGCUGGGAGGAAGGCAGAGGUUUUGUUGCACUGGCUUUACUCAGUGGUUUUGCUCAACCUCUUAACCCGAACCCGCUGCAGUGCAGCCACCAAAACUUGUCCAUGCUGUAAAACCUUAACGGCUCUGUUCUGUCCCACUUCCAUCUCGUUGGAGGCGACUUUCAUUUCUUUAGUGCCUGAGCAAAUGUUUUGUGUCCCUGGAUGAAAGCCAGGGAGCAUUAUUUACAUACUGUGGGUGAGAAGGCAGCAGACUGGAGCCCAUCACUCAUCAGUGAAAGGAUGAUCAUUGUUUAGCCCAUUCCAAAAUAAUGGCUCUGCUGGGAACACCAACCCAGUAUGCAUCAUGUCUUUUAUAGUAUAUAUUAAUUUAGUGUAGACAUUAGGCCAUCGUUAUUUUCUCCUUUUAAUUCCCAUGUAUUAGCAUUCAGGAUCGGUUUUAACCCAGCACACAUCUUUGUCAUUUCUUAAUGUAAAAUAAAUAACGCUGGAGGCAAACAUCU